GAUGAACGCUAGCUACAGGCUUAACACAUGCAAGUCGAGGGGAAACGAUAUUGGAAGCUUGCUUCUGAUAGGCGUCGACCGGCGCACGGGUGAGUAACGCGUAUCCAACCUGCCCAUCACUUGGGGAUAACCUUGCGAAAGUAAGACUAAUACCCAAUGACGUCUCUAGAAGACAUCUGAAAGAGAUUAAAGAUUUAUCGGUGAUGGAUGGGGAUGCGUCUGAUUAGCUUGUUGGCGGGGUAACGGCCCACCAAGGCGACGAUCAGUAGGGGUUCUGAGAGGAAGGUCCCCCACAUUGGAACUGAGACACGGUCCAAACUCCUACGGGAGGCAGCAGUGAGGAAUAUUGGUCAAUGGACGAGAGUCUGAACCAGCCAAGUAGCGUGCAGGAUGACGGCCCUAUGGGUUGUAAACUGCUUUUAUAAGGGAAUAAAGUGGGAGUCGUGACUCUUUUUGCAUGUACCUUAUGAAUAAGGACCGGCUAAUUCCGUGCCAGCA
rnacentral:rRNA from 1 species